rnacentral:rRNA from 1 species
UGUGCCAGCAGCCGCGGUAAUUCCAGCUCCAAUAGCGUAUAUUAAAGUUGUUGCGGUUAAAAAGCUCGUAGUUGGAUCUCGGCAAGUAGAGGGCGGUAUGCUUCGUAGCAUUACUGCCCUAUUACUUGUAGUUUUGCCAGAGGUUCCUGGGUGCUCUUAAUCGAGUGUCUAGGGAUGCUGGCAGGUUUACUUUGAAAAAAUUAGAGUGCUCAAAGCAGGCUAUUACGCUUGAAUAUUCGUGCAUGGAAUAAUAGAAUAGGAAGUUGUUUCUAUUUUGUUGGUUUUCGGAAAUCGACUUAAUGAUUAAUAGGGACAGUCGGGGGCAUUUGUAUUCAAACGACAGAGGUGAAAUUCUUGGACCGUUUGAAGACAAACUACUGCGAAAGCAUUUGCCAAGAAUGUUUUCAUUAAUCAAGAACGAAAGUUAGAGGUUCGAAGGCGAUUAGAUACCGCCCUAGUUCUAACCAUAAACGAUGCCAGCUAGCGAUCUGAGGACGUUUUUUUUGUAGACUCCUCAGGAAGCUUCCGGGAAACCAAAGCGUGUGGGUUCCGGGGGAAGUAUGGUUGCAAAGCUGAAACUUAAAGGAAUUGACGGAAGGGCACCACCAGGAGUGGAGCCUGCGGCUUAAUUUGACUCAACACGGGAAAUCUCACCAGGCCCGGACACUGGAAGGAUUGACAGAUUGAGAGCUCUUUCUCGAUUCGGUGGGUGGUGGUGCAUGGCCGUUCUUAGUUGGUGGAGUGAUUUGUCUGGUUAAUUCCGAUAACGAACGAGACUCUGUCCUGCUAAAUAGUGUCAGCCUCUCUUCUGGGCUGACAAUUCUUCUUAGAGGGACUGGCGGCUCCUAGCCGCACGAGAUAGAGCAAUAACAGGUCUGUGAUGCCCA